rnacentral:rRNA from 1 species
CGUAGGGUGCAAGCGUUAAUCGGAAUUACUGGGCGUAAAGCGUGCGCAGGCGGUGAUGUAAGACAGGUGUGAAAUCCCCGGGCUUAACCUGGGAACUGCAUUUGUGACUGCAUCGCUGGAGUGCGGCAGAGGGGGAUGGAAUUCCGCGUGUAGCAGUGAAAUGCGUAGAUAUGCGGAGGAACACCGAUGGCGAAGGCAAUCCCCUGGGCCUGCACUGACGCUCAUGCACGAAAGCGUGGGGAGCAAACAGGAUUAGAUACCCUGGUAGUCCACGCCCUAAACGAUGUCAACUGGUUGUUGGGUCUUCACUGACUCAGUAACGAAGCUAACGCGUGAAGUUGACCGCUGGGGAUACGGCGCAAGGUUG